rnacentral:rRNA from 1 species
CGCGAAUGGCUCAUUAUAACAGCUAUAAUUUACUUGAUCUUGACACAAUCCUACUUGGAUAACUGUGGUAAUUCUAGAGCUAAUACAUGCAUUAAAGCUCUGACCUCACGGGAAGAGUGCAUUUAUUAGAACAAAACCAAGCGGCUUCGGCUGUUUCUGGUUGACUCAUAGUAACUGAGCUGAUCGCACGGUCUUGCACCGGCGACGUGUCUUUCAAGUAUCUGCCGUAUCAACUUUCGAUGGUAGUGUAUCUGACUACCAUGGUGAUCACGCGUAACGGAGAAUAAGGGUUCGGCUCCGGAGAGUUCGCCUGAGAAAUCGCGAACACAUCUAAGGAAGGCAGCAGGCGCGAAAAUUACCCACUCUCAGCACGAGGAGGUAGUGACGAAAAAUAACGAGACCGUUCUCUUAUGAGGCCGGUCAUCGGAAUGGGUACAAUUUAAACCCUUUAACGAGUACCUAUGAGAGGGCAAGUCUGGUGCCAGCAGCCGCGGUAAUUCCAGCU